rnacentral:rRNA from 1 species
UACGUAGGGGGCAAGCGUUAUCCGGAUUUACUGGGUGUAAAGGGAGCGCAGGUGGCAGGGUAAGUCAGAUGUGAAAGCCCGGGGCUCAACCCCGGGACUGCAUUUGAAACUAUUCAGCUGGAGUGCAGGAGAGGUAAGCGGAAUUCCUAGUGUAGCGGUGAAAUGCGUAGAUAUUAGGAGGAACACCAGUGGCGAAGGCGGCUUACUGGACUGUAACUGACACUGAGGCUCGAAAGCGUGGGGAGCAAAC